UACGGGGGGGGUAAGCGUUGUUCGGAAUUACUGGGCGUAAGGGCGCGUAGGUGGCCCGACAAGUCCGUGGUGAAAAGCUCGACGCUCAACGUCGAGUCGGCCAUGGAUACUGUUGGGCUGGAGCACUGUAGAGGCUCAUGGAAAUUCCGGGUGUAGCGGUGGAAUGCGUAGAGAUCCGGAAGAACACCGGUGGCGAAGCGGUGAGCUGGGCAGUGCUGACACUGAGGCGCGAAAGCAUGGGGAGCGAGCAG
rnacentral:rRNA from 1 species